UUUUUUUUUUUGCAUUUAGCCUCUUUAAAAAAUUUAUUUUUAUAAAUAAUCUUAUCAAAUUUAUAAUUAUAAAUUUGAUCUUAUUCCUGUCACACAGAUGCCACGUAAGCAUCACGCAAGUAAGAAAAAGUGCUGAAAUAAGUUGAACAAGAUAAUUCAUUCACCGUGUCUAAACACGAUGAAUGGUUCACCGUGUCUGAAAAAAAUAUAAAUAUAUGCAUUGCGAAAAAUUAUAAGUAUUGAAAAUGAAGAAUAUGAUAAAUAUAAGUACGAAAUAAGAUGAAUCAUUCACCGUAUUUGAACACAUAAAACACGGUGAAUGAUUCAUCGUAUUCAACUUAACACCCCUCUAUUCGGCGUGGUGGUGAUGUGUCGCCUAUGUAGCCGGGAUAAAGCCAAACUUAUAAUUAU
rnacentral:lncRNA from 1 species